CUGAUACCGAGCCGAAGCUGGACUGUACUGCUGCCAUCUCGGCUCACUGCAACCUCCCUGCCUGAUUCUCCUGCCUCAGCCUGCCGAGUGCCUGCGAUUGCAGGCGCGCGCCGCCACGCCUGACUGGUUUUCGUAUUUUUUUGGUGGAGAUGGGGUUUUGCUGUGUUGGCCGGGCUGGUCUCCAGCUCCUAACCGCGAGUGAUCCACCAGCCUCGGCCUCCCGAGGUGCCGGGAUUGCAGACGGAGUCUGGUUCACUCAGUGCUCAAUGGCGCCCAGGCUGGAGUGCGUUGGCGUGAUCUCGGCUCGCUACAACCUCCACCUCCCAGCCGCCUGCCUUGGCCUCCCUAAGUGCCGGGAGUGCAGCCUCUGCCCGGCCGCCACCCCGUCUGGGAAGUGAGGAGCGUCUCUGCCUGGCCACCCAUCGUCUGGGACGUGAGGAGCCCCUCUGCCUGGCUGCCCAGUCUGGAAAGUGAGGAGCGCUUCUUCCCGGCCGCCAUCCCAUCUAGGAAGUGAGGAGUGCCUCUUCCCGGCCACCAUCCCAUCUAGGAAGUGAGGAGCGUCUCUGCCCGCCGCCCAUUGUCUGAGAUGUGGGGAGCGCCUCUGCCCCGCCGCCCCGUCUGGGAUGUGAGGAGCGCCUCUGCCCGGCCGCGACCCCGUCUGGGAGGUGAGGAGACCCUCCGCCCGGCAACCGCCCCGUCUGAGAAGUGAGGAGCCCCUCCGCCCGGCAGCCGCCCCGUCUGAGAAGUGAAGAGCCCCUCCGCCCGGCAGCCACCCCGUUUGGGAGAUAUUGAAUUUUCCAAGACCACUCUGGCCCACCAUGCCCCUCAUCCUGUGCCCAUAAAAACCCAAGACCAUAGCAGGCACACACACAAGGGGCUGGAUGUCGAGAGGAGCAGAAGAGCAGAAGAACACACCAACAGACACCAGCAGACACUGACAGGCCAUCGACAACAGGACAACGUGGAAUUCUGUCAGGGGUGGUUCUUGAAGAGCCCAGCCGCUAGGUGGCGCAACUCCAGGGGAAGACCACCUUCCCACUCCAUCCUCCUUCUGGCUCCACAUCCAUCUCACUGAGAGCUACUUCCCCCACUCAAUAAAACCUUGCACCCAUCCUCCAAGCCCACAUGUGAUCCGAUUUUUCCAGUACACUAGGGCAAGAAGCCGGGAUACAGAAAGCCCUUGUGAUAAGACAGAGAGUCUAAUUGAGCUGCUUAACACAAGCCACCUGCAGAGAGCAAAACUGCAAGAGCACACUGUAACACAGGCCCACUGGGGCUUCGAGAGCUGUAAACACUUAACCCUAGAUGCUGCUGUGGGGUCGGAGCCCAAAAACACUCCCCAGUACCUGCAUCCUCUACAUGCUCCCCCUAGAGGUUUGAGCAGCCGAGGACUGAAGAAGCGAGCCACAUCCCUGUUGCAUGCCCUGUGAGGG
rnacentral:lncRNA from 1 species